UACGGGGGGUGCGAGCGUUGUCCGGAAUCACUGGGCGUAAAGGGCGCGUAGGUGGUUUGAUAAGGGUGUGGUGAAAGUCCGGAGCUCAACUCCGGAUCUGCCGUGCCGACUGUCAAACUCGAGGGCUGUAGAGGCAGACGGAAUUCCGGGUGUAGCAGUGGAAUGCGUAGAGAUCCGGAGGAAGACCGGUGGCGAAGGCGGUCUGCUGGGCAGUUUCUGACACUGAGGCGCGGACAGCGUGGGGAGCAACAGGAUUAGAUACCC
rnacentral:rRNA from 1 species